GACGAACGCUGGCGGCGUGCCUAACACAUGCAAGUCGAACGGAGUGGCGAACGGGUGAGUAAAACGUGGGUGACCUGCUCUGCACUGCGGGAUAAGCCGGGGCAACUGGGUAUAAUACCGGAUAGUGGGGGAUGGGCCCGCGGCCAAUAAGCUUGUUGGUGGGGUAAUGGCCUACCAAGGCGGCGGCGGGUAGCCGGCCUGGGGGGGUGGACGACCACAUGAGGCCUGAGACACGGCCCAGUCUCCUACGGGAGGCAGCGGUGGUGAGUAUUGCACAGUGGGCGGAAGCCUGAGGCGUCGGCGCCGGGUGGGGGAUGACGGGCUUCGGGUUGUAAACUCCUGUCUCCAUCGACGCGGUAGAUGGAGAAGAAGCACCGGCUAACUACGUGCCAGCAGCCGCGGUAAUAC
rnacentral:rRNA from 1 species